rnacentral:rRNA from 1 species
UGAGGAAUAUUGGUCAAUGGGCGAGAGCCUGAACCAGCCAAGUCGCGUGAAGGAAGAAGGUUCUAUGGAUUGUAAACUUCUUUUGUAAGGGAAUAAAAAGAGUUACGUGUAACUUAUUGUAUGUACUUUACGAAUAAGGAUCGGCUAACUCCGUGCCAGCAGCCGCGGUAAUACGGAGGAUCCAAGCGUUAUCCGGAUUUAUUGGGUUUAAAGGGUGCGUAGGCGGGCCCUUAAGUCAGUGGUGAAAGUUUGCAGCUUAACUGUAAAAUUGCCAUUGAAACUGAGGGUCUUGAGCGUAAAUAAGGUAGGCGGAAUGUGUUGUGUAGCGGUGAAAUGCUUAGAUAUAACACAGAACUCCGAUUGCGAAGGCAGCUUACUGGGAUGCAACUGACACUGAUGCACGAAAGCGUGGGGAUCAAACA